rnacentral:pre_miRNA from 15 species
CGGCGGUACCGGGCAUUUUGGGUGUGUGAUUUGUAGCAAAGUGAUAUGUAUUUGAUCAUCCCCUUGUUGCAAACCUCACGCCAAAGAUGAUCUGCGA